GUUGGGGUUAGGCAUUUGACCUCAAGUGGUUAAGGUUAGGAUAGCCGAUGGGUCAGGGGAUAGGACCUGUACAAACAGGGUUACGUUACGGGGAAUUUGGGACACUUAACUGCACGUAUACUAAUGCUAACUUUCUCCA